rnacentral:rRNA from 1 species
AUUUAAAGUAAAGCCUGCUCAAUGAUAAUUCAAAAGCCGCAGAAAAUUAACUGUGCUAAGGUAGCAUAAUCAUUUGUCUCUUAAUUGGGGACUAGAAUGAAAGGUUUAACAUUUUCUUUACUUUUUUUGUUUUUUCUAUAAAAUUUUUACUAAAUAUAAAAAUGUAUUUAUUUCUUAAUUAGACGACAAGACCCUUUCAAACUUUACUAAAGUUAAGCUGGGGAAGCUAUAUAAAUAUAAUCUUAUUUACCCUUAAAUAAAAGACCCAAAUAAAUUGAUAAAAUGAUCAAGUUACUGAAGGGAUAACAGCAUAAUAAACUUAUAAAGAUCUUAUAAAAAAGUUAGUUUAUGACCUCGAUGUUGAAUUAUUUUUCCCUAGCACCCGCAAGAGGGUGCUAAGGAGGUCUGUUCGACCUUUAAACAAUUACGUGAUC